AAUUUGUACAUCUAGGCUCUAGAUGAUACCGCUUGUGCUAUAAAUGUUUUAUUAAAUUGACAUAUUAUUGCAAAUUCUGAUCUCAAACACUUAAUGUGAUCAGCAAUUUGGGCAAGCCAUCUAAAAUAAGACUAUAUAGGCCAUAUAUAUUUGUGGUCGGGGCAAUAUUGCCGUAAGGGUAAGAUAACAUAUAAUUAGUAAUAGACAUCAUAGUUAAUAACAGCAGUCGGUUGUGGUGUGCCAGAACCGACAAGGCAUUAGGCCUGUAGGAAAGAGGGCAAAAAGAAGUGUACCAUACAAAAUAUAUUCGUUCUACCAUACUUCAAAAUUACUUGGAUAAGUCACGAAUGCCUGACAAAUCCCUAACCAGUUCUGGUAUAUGUAAUGUAUAAGUGGAUGAGGUGUUGGGUAGAGACAGUACCCUAGCAACUUGGGAACUCGAGACAUACGACUAUACAAAGCCGCCAUUAGUUUGAUCCAUAUAUUGCUAUUGCCAAGUGGCGAAGAAUUUAACUACUGAGGGUGACAGGUGAGGCACUGCUAGUUGCCAAGCGGCAUGAGAG